rnacentral:snRNA from 1 species
CUACAUACCUGGCAGGGGAGAUACCAUGAUCAUGAAGGUGCUUUUCCCAGGGUGAGGCUUAUCCAUUGCACUCCAGAUGUGCAAACCCCUGUGAUUUCCCCAGUGUGAGAAACUUGAUUGCAUAAUUUGUGGUAGUGGGGGACUGUGUUCGUGUUCUCCCCCG